AAUAAAUUGACCUCUUACGCGAAAUAAGUCUUAUUUCGACUCAAAUCAUUGCUCUUUUACAUCGAAUAUUUUCAAUGACUUCGUGUUAAGCCCCUCUUUUUUCACGGGGCUUAUCUCGAACUUUUCAUGUUGUGUCUCUUUCUUCGAGUUAAGCCCUUGACGAAAAUGAGUGUGAUUACCCAACUCUCACAAUGCAGGCUUGUGACCGUUUCAAGCAAUAUGAUUGGUCUACAUGGAACCUACUUCAUGUUGGAUUAAAUCGAUCAAUACAUGAAAUACUUGUAAUGAUCAGGGGGGGGGGGGGUACAAGGGUUUCCAAUGGAAUUUCUGGACGAAAAAAUGUUUUU